UGGGGAAUAUUGGACAAUGGGCGCAAGCCUGAUCCAGCCAUGCCGCGUGAGUGACGAAGGUCUUCGGAUUGUAAAGCUCUUUUUACCAGGGACGAUAAUGACGGUACCUGGAGAAUAAGCCCCGGCUAACUUCGUGCCAGCAGCCGCGGUAAUACGAAGGGGGCUAGCGUUGUUCGGAAUUACUGGGCGUAAAGCGCACGUAGGCGGAUUUGUAAGUCAGGGGUGAAAUCCCGGGGCUCAACCUCGGAACUGCCUUUGAUACUGCAAGUCUCGAGUCCGAUAGAGGUGAGUGGAAUUCCUAGUGUAGAGGUGAAAUUCGCAGAUAUUAGGAAGAACACCGGUGGCGAAGGCGGCCCACUGGACCGGUAUUGACGCUGAGGUGCGAAAGCGUGGGGAGCAAACAGGAUUAGAUACCCAUGUAGUCCCUGAGCGGGCUGGCAAGGCGCAU
rnacentral:rRNA from 1 species